rnacentral:misc_RNA from 1 species
GUUGGAUAUUACAGGCUGAGGCGUUACUAUUUUUUGUUUAAAUAUUUACAUUGUUAUUUUUUGGCCAUUAAUAAGGUUAUAUUUUAAAAGGAGAAAAAGAAACAGCCGAAAUCUUAUUUUCAGAUUUCAUUCGUGCAGGUUUAAUACCUUCGAAAAAUUGAUGCGGAAUCGCACGAAACACUAUGUAAAUGCAGCUGGCGAAGGUGGAGAGAAUUGGAUUCAGAGAGGUGGAUCGAACGACGAAGCUCAUUCUACGAGAAAGAUAAUGGGAUGUGGGCGCCUGUUGAGUCGCUUUAUCCCCAUAGACCAAGAGCCUUCGAACAUUUAUUUGUAUUAAUUCUGGUUUGCUGAUUUUUAAAAAAGCCAAAUUAUAUCUUGAAACUUUUGUUAUUAUUGCAUUGCUU